GUCUACAGCCAUGCCACCCUGAACAAGCCCGAUGUCUGAUCUCGGAAGCUAAGCAGGGUCAGGCCUGGUUAGUACUUGGAUGGGAGACCACCUAGGAAGACCGGGUGCUGUAAGUA
rnacentral:rRNA from 1 species